UGGGGAAUAUUGCACAAUGGGCGCAAGCCUGAUGCAGCCAUGCCGCGUGUAUGAAGAAGGCCUUCGGGUUGUAAAGUACUUUCAGCGAGGAGGAAGGCGUUGUGGUUAAUAACCGCAACGAUCGACGUUACUCGCAGAAGAAGCACCGGCUAACUCCGUGCCAGCAGCCGCGGUAAUACGGAGGGUGCAAGCGUUAAUCGGAAUUACUGGGCGUAAAGCGCACGCAGGCGGUCUGUCAAGUCGGAUGUGAAAUCCCCGGGCUCAACCUGGGAACUGCAUCCGAAACUGGCAGGCUAGAGUCUUGUAGAGGGGGGUAGAAUUCCAGGUGUAGCGGUGAAAUGCGUAGAGAUCUGGAGGAAUACCGGUGGCGAAGGCGGCCCCCUGGACAAAGACUGACGCUCAGGUGCGAAAGCGUGGGGAGCAAACA
rnacentral:rRNA from 1 species